AUGGGGGCAACCCUGACCGAGCAACGCCGCGUGAGUGAAGAAGGUUUUCGGAUCGUAAAGCUCUGUUGUAAGUCAAGAACGAGUGUGAGAGUGGAAAGUUCACACUGUGACGGUAGCUUACCAGAAAGGGACGGCUAACUACGUGCCAGCAGCCGCGGUAUACGUAGGUCCCGAGCGUUGUCCGGAUUUAUUGGGCGUAAAGCGAGCGCAGGCGGUUUGAUAAGUCUGAAGUUAAAGGCUGUGGCUCAACCAUAGUUCGCUUUGGAAACUGUCAAACUUGAGUGCAGAAGGGGAGAGUGGAAUUCCAUGUGUAGCGGUGAAAUGCGUAGAUAUAUGGAGGAACACCGGUGGCGAAAGCGGCUCUCUGGUCUGUAACUGACGCUGAGGCUCGAAAGCGUGGGGAGCGAACAGGAUUAGAUACCCUGGUAGUCCACGCCGUAAACGAUGAGUGCUAGGUGUUGGAUCCUUUCCGGGAUUCAGCGCCGCAGCUAACGCAUUAAGCACUCCGCCUGGGGAGUACGACCGCAAGGUUGAAACUCAAAGGAAUUGACGGGGGCCCGCACAAGCGGUGGAGCAUGUGGUUUAAUUCGAAGCAACGCGAAGAACCUUACCAGGUCUUGACAUCCCGAUGCUAUUUCUAGAGAUAGAAAGUUACUUCGGUACAUCGGUGACAGGUGGUGCAUGGUUGUCGUCA
rnacentral:rRNA from 1 species